GUGGGAGGGGGCUGGGCCUCCAGGAGAGGGCCCAUAUCCCAGCAGUGCCAGUGGAGGGGGCUGCUUGGGCUGGGCAGACCCAGGAGAGAUGAGUCUUGGGGGCCACUGGGCUGGUUGCCCCACCCAUCUUGACAGCUCUUCGCAGGAUCCCCCCACUCCUGGUCAUGAGGAAGUGGGGGCCAGCAUGGCCCAUCAAGACCCUGGGAGGGAGGCCAUGGCUGCAGCUUCUGCCUGACCCCUACCCGCCAGCCCUCUCGGUUCACUGUUAUUCACCCUCCACUUCCUGUCACUGGGUCUCUUUGUCACACCCUCUGUCUCUUUUUGUGACACUGACAUCUUUCCCAUUCGGGGAUAUGGGAAGCUGGCGCUAGCGGCACUGCUGUGUAUGAGUUUACAGGGCUCCUGAGAAGAUGGCCUCCUCUUCGCUGCUCAGGGCCUAGAGGGGCUGGGGGAGGGAGUGAGAAAUCCAGCAAGAGACGAGUGUGUGUGCGGGGUGUGGAGGUCAGAUAAUGCAUUGCAGCGGCUCUGCACUGGUCCUGAGGAGUCUGUAGACAUUAUUCCAAUGGAGCGAAGGGGAAGGGGAAUUGAAGCAGAGGGAACAGCACGCAUGAAGGCUCAGAGGUUUGGAAAAACCCUUGUGUGUUUUGAGAACCGAUGAGUGGGUGUGGGUGCGUGCCUCUGAGUCUGUGCAGGAAGAAGGUGGGAGUGGGUGGGUGAGGACAGAGGAGGGGACAGAGAAAAGGACUCUCCUCACUGCCAGCCAGUGCUCAGCCUGGGAGGGGGAGGGGUGCUGAUGCUAAUUACCUUCUUGGGUCACCCUUCACUACACAUCUUGGGCUCGGAAAUGGGGCUGCAGAGACCAGGGGUCUGAAGUCUAGAGGGUGAGGUGAAACUGGGAGCACAGCCCAGGACAAGUGGGACCCAGGGAGGGCUGUUGAGAGCUCGGCCACACACUGACCCCUGUGAGGGAGAAAGGUGGAUGGGCUUGAACUUGGGCAGUCCCUGAGUCCCUCUGCAGUUUCUCCAGGCCUGGGCUGGGCCUGCUGGUCUGACCUCUGCAUCAGCGUGAAGGGUUUGGGAAAGCUGGGCAUGGGAAUGUGGGACCACCUGCUCCCUGGCUGGAGAUCAGGAACUGACAGCACCCCAGUGGGGGCAGGCAGAGCUGAGGGCCCUAGAGGAGAGGCCCUUCCUCAGAGGGAAGCCUCCCUAGCCUUCAAUUUUUAAUGAAUGGCCUUGAGCAUCCGUUCCUGGUGGCCUCCAAGUUCUUUUUGAGUCUCCCCCAAACCCACACCGAUGCUGAGGCCAUUUUAGAUCCUCCUAAAGCAUUGCUGGGGCUCAGCUCAAGGCUGGAAACUCCAGGGUCUUGAUAAGCAAUUAUUGAUACAGCAUGGCUCGAGGAUCAAGUAUGCGACAAGCCCUGAUGAGGCUGAUUCUCCUGAGUAGCAGGAGCAGUUGAAAUCCACCAGGAGUUUUCACCCUGCCUUGGAAGGGGGCCCAGGGAAUACCUGCAUCCCAGAGUGAACCUAAAAUCUCAAAGGAGACUGCAGCCCUGGAUGAUGGAGGAGAGGGAAGCCAGUCCAGAAACUGGCUCCCUGGCAGUGACCCUCACUCUCCUGGCCACCCAGACAGUCUUUGGGGAGAAGACUCAAAUGUCAAGGAGUCUGCAAAGGGCAGUGGAGUGGCUGGAGGACCGAUUAGGACUGCAGCCAGGGCAUGGCCCCCUGGGCUCAGGAGAACAGCAGUCCCAGCCUGUUUUUCCUGAUAGAUGAUGAGACUGUUCCCUGCUGCCAGGUACCCAGAGACCCUCACUCCUUCAGGUGGAGGGCCACUUGCUCAGAUGGCCUUGGAGUUUACUGUGCACCUUAGCCAGGCAUGCAGAUAAGUGGAAUGAUGGGAUUGGGGUGCAUUGUGUUGAGUCAGUCCACCUGGCAAGAUACCUGAACCUCAGCACCUGAUCCUGGAUGUUGGGUGAGGGCAUUGGACAAGAUGACCUGACGAUCCUUCCACUUCAGGCCCAUGCUUUUCUAGUUAGCGGUUUUCAGAGCUCACCUGCUCCAGGUGUGCCUCUAGUCUCCGUUCACUAGUCAUGUCUGAAUCCCGGAGGUGUCUAUGGAACAGUUGCCAGAAACCAACAAACCGAGGACUGGAAAGGAAGCAAGCUGAAUGCCAUCCAGAGGAUCAUCUUGCCAGUACUGCUCCGCUUGUAAAAACCAUCUUGGCCAAAUCCCUGUGAUUUCAUCCAGAACAAAUAAUAAAAAGCAGUGUGCAAUAUUUCCAGGAUGAGCAUAUUCAUAGUAAAUAUUUUAAGAUCAAUGGCUGCACAAAAUGCAUUUUCCUUGGAG
ensembl:lncRNA